CCAUCUGAUUCUCCCAGGUUUCUCUCUCCUCUCUCCAUCUGAUCCUCCCAGGUUUCUCUCUCCUCUCUCCAUCUGAUCCUCCCAGGUUUCUCUCUCCUCUCUCCAUCUGAUCCUCCCAGGUUUCUCUCUCCUCUCUCCAUCUGAUCCUCCCAGGUUUCUCUCUCCUCUCUCCAUCUGAUCCUCCCAGGUUUCUCUCUCCUCUCUCCAUCUGAUCCUCCCAGGUUUCUCUCUCCUCUCUCCAUCUGAUCCUCCCAGGUUUCUCUCUCCUCUCUCCAUCUGAUCCUCCCAGGUUUCUCUCUCCUCUCUCCAUCUGAUCCUCCCAGGUUUCUCUCUCCUCUCUCCAUCGGAUCCUCCCAGGUUUCUCUCUCCAUCUGAUCCUCCCAGGUUUCUCUCUCCUCUCUCCAUCUGAUCCUCUCCUCUCAUGAUUCGACACUUGAGAUCCAUCUAUGUUGUCCUGAGUUGUAUUAUUGUGUGUGGUAUGUUGUUCUUACCGCUCUUCCUCACUUCUUUUGUUUAAAUGGUUUACCUUGUUUUGGGCUUGAGACUCUUUAUCGUCUUACGUCGAGGACAAUUUGUAAUCUAAUAACUUACUAUUAACGUAAUUACUUUGUCCCUGUUUUAUGUCUUUUAUUGGGUUAUGAUGUAACAGUAUCACUGCCU